rnacentral:lncRNA from 1 species
GUCUUACCAAGCUGUUAAUAAUGAAGAAAUGCUCAUUAUUAAUAGCACAAUAUAAAGUAAAUGGCACUGAAUGUUAUGUUGGGGGCAGAGAAUGACACUGACAGCUUUUUCUUUAUUGUCUGCAGAGGAGAAGAAAGUAAAGAGCACUAAAGUGGAAGCAAAAGUCAAAAAGGAAGUGAAGGAUGGAAAAGGAGAAGCAAAGACGGCAGAGAAGGUCAAGCAGGCAGAGACAAAAACAACAGAAACUGGGCUAAUAAAGGCCAAAACGAAAGUUAAGGAGGAGAAAGCUCUUCAGACUGUAACUAAAUCGGACAAGAAAGAUCAAUAUGCAUUCUGUCGCUAUGUGAUUGACAUGUUUGCACAAGGGGAUUUUUAUCCAGGUGAAGUGGAAAUGGACUACUCCUUAACAUCUCCCAAAGUCCACCUGGAGUUCCGUCUGUCAAGUGACUGCCUUUUGACCUCUCAAGUUACUUGUUGAACCCUGAAGUUAAAUGCUGCAAAUGGUUGUUGUGCUGAAGCCAGAUGCAUUUUUGUGGGAGGGGAAAAAAAACAUUGCCUUGAAAACAAGAUUUAUUCAACCCAUCAGCUGUGAAAGGCAAUGCUGGAACAUCCAGACUCCAGAAACACUACUCAGUGUUUCUGAGAAGCAAAGUAGAGGUCAAGUAUGAUCAGCCUUUAUUUAUGGAAAUCAUUGAGAAGAGUGCCACCAAACAGUACUUGAUUAGUUUGUUACUGUCUUUCUCAGACAAAUUGCUCAUUUUACACCAUCCUUUUGUGAACAGAAGUAUUACUGUAAUUCAUUUUACUGAAUAGAUAAAUGUGGGGAAAACACC